UACGUAGGGUGCAAGCGUUAUUCGGAAUCACUGGGCUUAAAGGGUGCGUAGGCGGCCAUGUAAGUGAGGUGUGAAAUCCCUCGGCUCAACCGAGGAACUGCGCUUCAUACUGCAUGGCUUGAGGGAGACAGGGGUAAGCGGAACUGAUGGUGGAGCGGUGAAAUGCGUUGAUAUCAUCAGGAACACCGGUGGCGAAAGCGGCUUACUGGGUCUCUUCUGACGCUGAGGUACGAAAGCUAGGGUAGCGAACGGG
rnacentral:rRNA from 1 species